AGCUCGAGCGGACAGAUGGGAGCUUGCUCCCUGAUGUUAGCGGCGGACGGGUGAGUAACACGUGGGUAACCUGCCUGUAAGACUGGGAUAACUCCGGGAAACCGGGGCUAAUACCGGAUGGUUGUCUGAACCGCAUGGUUCAGACAUAAAAGGUGGCUUCGGCUACCACUUACAGAUGGACCCGCGGCGCAUUAGCUAGUUGGUGAGGUAACGGCUCACCAAGGCGACGAUGCGUAGCCGACCUGAGAGGGUGAUCGGCCACACUGGGACUGAGACACGGCCCAGACUCCUACGGGAGGCAGCAGUAGGGAAUCUUCCGCAAUGGACGAAAGUCUGACGGAGCAACGCCGCGUGAGUGAUGAAGGUUUUCGGAUCGUAAAGCUCUGUUGUUAGGGAAGAACAAGUGCCGUUCAAAUAGGGCGGCACCUUGACGGUACCUAACCAGAAAGCCACGGCUAACUACGUGCCCGCAGCCGCGGUAAUACGUAGGUGGCAAGCGUUGUCCGGAAUUAUUGGGCGUAAAGGGCUCGCAGGCGGUUUCUUAAGUCUGAUGUGAAAGCCCCCGGCUC
rnacentral:rRNA from 2 species